rnacentral:lncRNA from 1 species
AAAAAUACAUGUAGAAAUAAGUCCUGUUAAAUUUUGUUUUGAAUAGGGAGCAAGGAAAAUGGAACAGGAACAUUCUGAUCUCUUCACAGGAGCUAAAAAUACAGCCUUAUAUGGUUGGAGAUUUAUUCUGGAGAAAAUGGACCUGUCCAGUAAAAUAACACCAGCACAAGCAAAGAAAAAGUGGGACAAUUAAAAAAAAAGUGUAAGGGGUACCCACCAUCGCCGAGGAGGGAAAAGCCCUGAGGUG